rnacentral:rRNA from 1 species
AUUGAACGCUGGCGGCAGGCUUAACACAUGCAAGUCGAGCGGAGAUGAGGUGCUUGCACCUUAUCUUAGCGGCGGACGGGUGAGUAAUGCUUAGGAAUCUGCCUAUUAGUGGGGGACAACAUUCCGAAAGGAAUGCUAAUACCGCAUACGCCCUACGGGGGAAAGCAGGGGAUCUUCGGACCUUGCGCUAAUAGAUGAGCCUAAGACGGAUUAGCUUGUUGGUGGGGUAAAGGCCUACCAAGGCGACGAUCUGUAGCGGGUCUGAGAGGAUGAUCCGCGACACUGGGACUGAGCCACGGCCCAGACUCCUACGGGAGGCAGCAGUGGGGAAUAUUGGACAAUGGGCGGAAGCCUGAUCUAGCCAUGCCGCGUGUGUGAAGAAGGCCUUUUGGUUGUAAAGCACUUUAAACGAGGAGGAGGCUACUAGUACUAAUACUACUGGAUAGUGGACGUUACUCGCAGAAUAAGCACCGGCUAACUCUGUGCCAGCCGCCGCGGUAACAC